AGCCGAGCUAAAUUUAAUUUGAUUUUGUUUUAUUUUUUUUAUCAUUGUUCAUACCUUUUUUAUUGUGAACUCCACCAAAUAUUGGUUCCUAGUUGUAAGUUGAUUUCGUUGUUCCGUAUGGCAUGCCUUUUGUUUCCCUGGGGAGUGGUUUGGCGUUGCACCUGUGUGUCUAGCGUCAGUGAGCGCUGAUGCACGGAGCUGGUGAGUUUCGUUUGUGUCUCUCUCCGUUAGAUUUUUAUGUUAACCCCUUGUUUGUUGCCCUUGAACGGCUGUGGUCGUUCACACUGCUUUGCGACGUGCUUUUAGGCACGCGGGAGAAACUCUGGUGCGUAGAAAAAUUUAAUUGAACUGUUGGAAGGGUGGAUUUUGAUUAACUCGUAACCUAGCUUGAGCCGGUGGUAGUUUAGUUUUUUCCCGCCUUGAAAUUUCAAAUGCGGUUGUUUUAUCCGGUAUGUGUGGUCAAUUGUUUGCUUCCUUUGUUUUGUAGAGUGGAGAGUGAUAUCCCGGAUUGUGUGUGACGCCCGUGUUGUUUUGUCUCCUUUGGAAAGUCACAGGAUAUAUUAAGCUAGAGUGAGUGAGCGCUGAUGCACGGAGCUGAGUGGAGAGUGAUAUCCCGGAUUGUGUGUGACGCCCGUGUUGUUUUGUCUCCUUUGGAAAGAAUAAACCUCCAGUACUCGA